GACGAACGCUUGCGGCGUGCUUAACACAUGCAAGUCGAACGGUAAGGCUCCAGCUUGCUGGGGUACACGAGUGGCGAACGGGUGAGUAACACGUGGGUGACCUGCCCUGCACUUCGGGAUAAGCCUGGGAAACUGGGUCUAAUACCGGAUAGGACCGCACCGUGAGGGUGUGGUGGAAAGUUUUUUCGGUGUGGGAUGGGCCCGCGGCCUAUCAGCUUGUUGGUGGGGUAAUGGCCUACCAAGGCGGCGACGGGUAGCCGGCCUGAGAGGGUGGACGGCCACAUUGGGACUGAGACACGGCCCAGACUCCUACGGGAGGCAGCAGUGGGGAAUGUUGCACAAUGGGCGGAAGCCUGAUGCAGCGACGCCGCGUGGGGGAUGACGGCCUUCGGGUUGUAAACUCCUUUCACCAUCGACGAAGGGUUUCUGACGGUAGAUGGAGAAGAAGCACCGGCUAACUACGUGCCAGCAGCCGCGGUAAUACGUAGGGUGCGAGCGUUGUCCGGAAUUACUGGGCGUAAAGAGCUCGUAGGUGGUUUGUCGCGUCGUCUGUGAAAUUCCGGGGCUUAACUCCGGGCGUGCAGGCGAUACGGGCAUAACUUGAGUACUGUAGGGGAGACUGGAAUUCCUGGUGUAGCGGUGAAAUGCGCAGAUAUCAGGAGGAACACCGGCGGCGAAGGCGGGUCUCUGGGCAGUAACUGACGCUGAGGAGCGAAAGCAUGGGGAGCGAACAGGAUUAGAUACCCUGGUAGUCCAUGCCGUAAACGGUGGGCGCUAGGUGUGGGUUUCCUUCCACGGGAUCCGUGCCGUAGCUAACGCAUUAAGCGCCCCGCCUGGGGAGUACGGCCGCAAGGCUAAAACUCAAAGGAAUUGACGGGGGCCCGCACAAGCGGCGGAGCGUGUGGAUUAAUUCGAUGCAACGCGAAGAACCUUACCUGGGCUUGACAUAUACAGGAUCGCGCCAGAGAUGGUGUUUCCCUUGUGGCUUGUAUACAGGUGGUGCAUGGUUGUCGUCAGCUCGUGUCGUGAGAUGUUGGGUUAAGUCCCGCAACGAGCGCAACCCUUGUCUUAUGUUGCCAGCACGUUGUGGUGGGGACUCGUAAGAAACUGCCGGGGUUAACUCGGAGGAAGGUGGGGAUGACGUCAAAUCAUCAUGCCCCUUAUGUCCAGGGCUUCACACAUGCUACAAUGGUCGGUACAGUGGGUUGCCAGUCCGUGAGGGCGAGCUAAUCCCGCAAAGCCGGUCUCAGUUCGGAUCGGGGUCUGCAACUCGACCCCGUGAAGUCGGAGUCGCUAGUAAUCGCAGAUCAGCAACGCUGCGGUGAAUACGUUCCCGGGCCU
rnacentral:rRNA from 1 species